rnacentral:rRNA from 1 species
AAUGAACGUUGGCGGCGUGGCUUAGGCAUGCAAGUCGAGCGAGAUCCCCGCAAGGGGGGGCAGCGGCGAAAGGCGCAGUAAUGUCUAGUUUAUCAGCCCUCAGGUCCGGGAUAGUUGCGGGAAAAUGCAGGUAAUACCGGAUAACAUCACCGGAUCAAAGGUGUGAUUCCGCGUGAGGAUGAGUCUGCAUUCUAUUAGCUAGUUGGUGGGGUAAUGGCCUACCAAGGCAUUGAUGGGUAGCAGGUGUGAGAGCACGACCUGCGUCAUAGGGGCUGAGACACCGCCCAGACACCGACGGGUGGCUGCAGUCGAGAAGCGUCGGCGAUGGGGGGAAUCCUGAACGAGCGACGCCGCGUGGAGGAUGAAGGCCUGCGUGUUGUAAACCACUGUCAGAGUAGAAGAGAUGCAGGUGAGUUCUCCCAUAUGUUGGAGAUAGCCUCAGAGGAAGGACGGGCUAAGUUCGUG